rnacentral:sRNA from 1 species
UUGCUUAGAGCAAAGGCUAAGAACGCGGCAUCGUGCCGCAACGCCUUUGUGACUCACAUCCUGUGAG